AUCCAAAGUGUUGAGUUCAGUCCAGGGUUGCGUCCUUGGUCUGGUAAUUAAACUUUGGGACAGCAUAUAGUUGGGAGCAGAGGAACGUGGGGAGUUUGCAUUCUUGCCAGCUUCCUCUCCUAGUCCACACAG